AACGAACGCUGGCGGCAGGCCUAACACAUGCAAGUCGAGCGAGGACUUCGGUUCUAGCGGCGGACGGGUGAGUAACGCGUGGGAAUGUGCCCUUCUCUACGGAAUAGCCCUGGGAAACUGGGAGUAAUACCGUAUACGCCCUAUUGGGGAAAGAUUUAUCGGAGAAGGAUCAGCCCGCGUUGGAUUAGGUAGUUGGUGGGGUAAUGGCCUACCAAGCCGACGAUCCAUAGCUGGUUUGAGAGGAUGAUCAGCCACACUGGGACUGAGACACGGCCCAGACCCCCAGGGGAGGAGGGAGUGGGGAAUCUUAGAAAAGGGGGGCAACCCUGAUCGAGCCAUGCCGCGUGAAUGAGGAGGGCCUUAGGGUUGAAAAGCCCUUUCAGCGGGGAAGAUAAGGAGGGAACAAGAAAAAGAAGCCCCGGCAAACCCCGUG
rnacentral:rRNA from 1 species